rnacentral:misc_RNA from 1 species
UCGAAACCUGCCUAGCAGAACGACCCGUGAACGCGUUGUAAACAACAUYGGAGGUGGUGCAGGUGCAUCGUCGCCUGUUGCCACCCCCGCGUGUCGGAGUGGCCGGUCUUGUCGUCCCUUUGCCCAUCGGGUGGGGUGAGAUGUCAGGAUCAACCUCUUCGAUGCAAAACGAACAAACCCCCGGCGUGAAUUGCGCCAAGGAAUCGAAAUGAAAAAAGGGACACGUCUUAUGUUGCCGCACCGUUCGCGGUGUCAGUGCUUCAGUGAUGUUGUUCUUUUGUCGCAAAAUAUAU